rnacentral:rRNA from 1 species
AGCGAACGCUGGCGGCAGGCUUAACACAUGCAAGUCGAGCGGGCACUUUCGGGUGUCAGCGGCGGACGGGUGAGUAACGCGUGGGAACGUGCCCUCUGGUUCGGAAUAACUCAGGGAAACUUGAGCUAAUACCGGAUACGCCCUUUUGGGGAAAGGCUUGCUGCCGGAGGAUCGGCCCGCGUCUGAUUAGCUAGUUGGUGAGGUAACGGCUCACCAAGGCGACGAUCAGUAGCCGGUCUGAGAGGAUGAUCAGCCACACUGGGACUGAGACCCGGCCCAGACUCCUACGGGAGGCAGCAGUGGGGAAUAUUGGACAAUGGGCGCAAGCCUGAUCCAGCCAUGCCGCGUGAGUGAUGAAGGCCUUAGGGUUGUAAAGCUCUUUUAUCCGGGACGAUAAUGACGGUACCGGAGGAAUAAGCCCCGGCUAACUUCGUG